UGUCUGUCUAUCUAUCUAUCUGUCUGUCUGUCUGUCUGUCUAUCUUUAUGUCUGUCUGUCUGUCUGUCUAUCUAUCCAUCUGUCCAUCUAUCUAUCUAUCUAUCUAUCUAUCUAUCUAUCUAUCUAUCUAUCUAUCUAUCUAUCUAUCUAUCUGUCUGUCUGUCUGUCUGUCUGUCUGUCUGUCUGUCUGUCUGUCUGUCUAUCUUUAUGUCUGUCUGUCUGUCUGUCUGUCUAUCUUUAUGUCUGUCUGUCUGUCCAUCUAUCUAUCUGUCUGUCUGUCUGUCUAUCUAUCCAUCUGUCCAUCUCUCUAUCUGUCUGUCUUUCUUUCUGUCUGUCUGUCUUUCUGUCUGUCUGUCUGUCUGUCUGUUUGUCUAAACCAGUAUCCAAAGCAGUCAAAGACCGCGAUGUGAGGACAUCAACAGGAAAUAAAAAGAACACAAGAAGUAAAGCGCUCUCAAUGUGAAUCAAACAACUGCUCGACUGAGGAGAUGAAGAGAAAAGUGCAGCUGCACAAUCCUAAAAUUUUGAAGGUCGUCUGUCGGCUACACAACUCGGAGGCAAAUUGUAGGCAGUAUCACCAGGAGCAAAGAUUAAGUUCAACACAUCAUAAGAAGGUCACCUCAGUUUUAGUGGGAGCACUGGCUACAAACUUGGAAUUGAAGGCUUUGAUAAAAAUUACUUUGUGGCCUGCAAGACAUUACCAGAGCUAACCGGUGUGGCCGCAGCACAGAGUGACCAGAGGAGGAAGAGGCUCUUGGGUCAAACCCGGUGUACUGGCUGUGGACAAAGUGUGUUUCUGAAGGGGGAUCACCGCUAACAUGAUGUCAGAUGAUGAAGACAAUGCUGUUGAAUGCCUUCAACGUGAUGCCCAGCUGAUGCAUGACCAACGACCACCGGCAGAACCCGCUUAACCUCCGCCUAAUCUCCUUAAUCGUUUCAAUGUAUAUAUAAAUAUAUCUCCCAAGGGUUUUUCCCUCCUAGGACUUUUUUUUUACUUCCCCGGCUAAGCCUGGGUUUUUUUUUCUCCUAGGGGGUUUUUCAACCCGGGGAGGCAGCCUUCUUGGGCUUAACUUAGCACCCUCUUCUUUACGUUACAUUAGCAAUACGCACGCUUAUAAUGUUGAUUCAUAGCCGCAGCAAAUUUAGCUGCUUGUGCUAUCGUGUAUUAUGUUGUGCUAUCUGUCGUUUUUCUGUGCUUUCCAUUGCUUCUGUUAAUGUAAAGCUGCUUUGAAACAAUUAACUAUUGUGAAAAGCGCUAUUUAAAUAAAAUUGAAUUGAAUUGAACUGUUGAUGAAGUGUCGGGUGGAUUGUGAGACCUUCAUCGUUCUUCAGCCAGGCGCUCCGCAAUCUGUGUGCUAAGCUGCAGCUGCGACUGUGUGUGUGUUCGAGUUAUGCAGCGUUGAAUUGCUGUCUAACAGAAUGCCACCGCUUACCUACAACCCCGAGACAGCAAAAUAAACACAUUUGAUGCCAAAUGUGAUCCCAAGAACAUAAUGUCUGGCUAUUUUUAACUUUUUAUGUGUUUAUUUUAUUAAUAAAACUCUUACAAACCUCGCA